UACGUAGGGUGCAAGCGUUGUCCGGAAUUAUUGGGCGUAAAGCGCACGUAGGCGGUUCGUUAAGUCGGAUGUGAAAGCCCUCGGCUCAACUGAGGAAGUGCACCCGAAACUGGCGAGCUUGAGUACGAAAGAGGAUCGCGGAAUUCCCGGUGUAGAGGUGAAAUUCGUAGAUAUUAGGAAGAACACCAGUGGCGAAGGCGGCUCACUGGCCCGGUACUGACGCUGAGGCGCGAAAGCGUGGGGAGCAAACAGG
rnacentral:rRNA from 1 species